rnacentral:tRNA from 1 species
AUUUAUAUAGUUUAUUAAAACAUUAUAUUUUCAAUAUAAAAUUAACAAAUAUGUUUAUAAAUU